GUUGCAGCAAAUGACACGAUACUAAUCAAUAUACCUCGUUAUAUCAUACUUUUUUUGGUCUUCUUGCUGAUUGAACAUAAGGCCUGUACCUCGCGGUUUUCUUCUUUGGAACCAAACAAGGCAGCGUUUGAUUGGGAAUAAAAAUUCUGAUAACUGGCCACUACAGCGAGAUCCCAAAUUAAGCCACACCCUCGCGAAGUCACCACAUCUUUCCCUCACUCACGGCCUUACCUCAAUCCUGGCAUGUGCUUCGCCAUUGGCAUGCUCGUUCGUGUUUAGCACACGUAAGCUCCUUUCUAUUUCCCUUUUGUUGAGUCUGAACAUGAUGUUGUUUUAAAAUAUAUUUUACUAUUUAUGAGCUGUUAAUAAUCCGAAGAAAAAAAAUAGGUGUUAAUAAUUGAUUCUUGGACUUGUAUAUGAAUCUACUGUAGCUUUCUCACUUUUCUGAAUAUUGCAAGGCCUCACAAUCCUGGCUUCUAUAC